UUCAAUGAAAUUUGCUGCUUAGAGCCCUUCUAGUCUCGUCAGGAGACCUUUCCUACACCGGAGAGAUGGCUCGGAGUGAUGUAGACACCUAUGGCCGUAUCCUGGAAAAUUAUUUUGGAGCUUGCAGUUCGUGACCAGCCACCAAGGACGAAAGUCUCACUUUUGUAAUUGCUGAAACGAGGAAUAUGGUCACCAAUUUCACACCAGUGUGGUGACUUCUGAUCCAAGAGGCAAUGGCAUGAAGUCAAUAUUUUGCAGUAUGUGCAAUAUGCGGCAGUCUCUCUGUCAAAGGACUUGUGACAGCUGAAGCCCAGAUGUUGCAGUUUGAUGUCUAUGGCCAGCAGCAAUCUAAUGUUGUUGCACCUUUCCUUCCACACACACAGCAAUGCUGAAUAUGUCAUGGACAGACAUCGCUAAACUGCCUAUUUGAAGAAGCAUCGCAAUUCUUGUCUGCCAAUAAGCAGCAGUGACUAGCCAGCUAUAAUUACAGUUUGGAGGUCGGAGACGCGAUCCCGUGAACAUAUUGCGCCAACUGCAAUGAAGAAGGCCUUAGUAUCUAGAUUUAUUACCAUUCUCGUGUGGAUAACUAUGGCGGUGUGAUCCAAGUCAUGCGGACUAUAAAAUGCAUUAGACGUGAGAUAGUGAAUGUACUGCGAUUGACCCUGACGACAGCAAGCCAACAGUGGAUAUGAACCACACCGCCAGCAUCAUUCUGCACACCAGGAGAAUCCAAUACACAUAGCUGCCAACUCUGAUGGUAUAGACCCAAUAACUUGUUUUGUUACUCUAGAGAUUGGUAUACAAAUAUACAUGUACUAGUGCAAUCUCUAUCCAUAUGCGUAAUGCACUGUAUUUGUUUCCGGUGACUGGAGGUAGUUUAUCAUAGCACUGUUUUAUGUCCUGGUUUUGUUGAAGAUAAGCAUUAUCCAGUUAA